rnacentral:lncRNA from 1 species
CAAACGUCCUCACUCAAGAAUGACAGACAUCGAACUGGGGGGAGAGCAGGGCCAGUCAUCUCCUGUCAUCAGGAUGAAUGGUCAACCCCGCAGGAAAGACAACUCACCUGAUGAGACCAUAUUGAUCGCAGAGAGCUGGAGGAUAUAAAAGAGAACUGCCUCACGCUCCCUCACUCACAGGCUCUUAGGAAAUCGGCCAAGGCUUGGAGAAGGAGAGAAAAUGCCUUCCCAGAGGGUGGUCAUUACCCUGGCGCUGCUGUUGGGGUCUUGCUGCAUCAGCGCUUAUCCUGUCCACCUGGAAAGCGACAGUGCCCAUGAUUUUCACCUGCCUGACGGUGCAGUUGGUUUUGUGUCUGAGAGCAAGCCUCUGGCAGAACUCCAGCCAUCCAGGAACCUCCACCAGGCUCUGUCUGCGCUGGGGGAAGGGGCUCGUGGCAAGAGUGAGUCCCAGAGCUCAAGGAAAUAAAAGCACCCUCCAGGAGGAUGGCCCAGACCGCUCGGUGAGUGGAGGUGCCUCUCUGGCCUCGGGGAGGGUGUCCCAGGGAGACACCACCGGGCAGGGGCUCCCCAUGGCCAGCUCCCCACGAGGUCCCAGUAAACCCCAUCCCUGCCGGCCAGUUAACAGGGACUGAGGCAGUCCCACUCGGGUGCCACACUGCUCCCCUCCCUGGUCCAGCAGUGAGGGGAAGGGGCUUGGGGGCUGGUUUUGCCAGAUGGGCACCACACAGGGGAAUGGGACUGCUGUGCCGUGGCAGGUGGAAGACCUUCAUGAAGUCCUAUGGAAGAUGGUGGCAGUGGGUGAGCGCCAGAGCCAGGGAUUUACCCAGACAGAGCAGGCCCCUGGGCAACCCAGCAAGAGAGGUGAGUCCUGGGACCUGACCCACCACUGUCCUGCAGAGGCCAUGGAAAGCAGGGGCUGGGCUUGGGGUGGGGGGUGCUCAUUACUUGGGGUGAUGGGUGCCCACGGUUUGGGGUGGAAGGUGCCCAUGAUCUGGACUAAGGCAUUCGUAUCUCCCUUCCUUUAAACUUUUCGGCUGUGGCUAAGCACUGCUGCAGCCCCUCGCAUGGCUGUCUUUUCCUUUUUUUCCAGCUUGCUUCUGGAAAUACUGUGUCAGCAAAUGAGGGGUGCAGGAGGGGGUCUGCCUGCUGCCUGCCUGCCAGCCCGCUCCCUGCCACCGCUGCCCCGCUGCCUGCCAGUGGGACCAUCCAGGCAGGACCCCGCACCUCGCUGUGGGGUGGUUUACACAGAGCUUUGAAAGGUCUCCGGUCCCUUGGGGGGAAAAGGGGAGAGGGUCUGCAGCAGACGAGCUGUGUCAUGGGGUACAGGGAUAGUCCCAUCAGGAACCGGGGUGCAGGACAGUGUUUCUCCCAUACCAGGGAAUCUCCAGGACCCAU